rnacentral:rRNA from 1 species
GGGCCCGCACAAGCGGUGGAGCAUGUGGUUUAAUUCGAUGAUACGCGAGGAACCUUACCAGGGCUUAAAUGCAGCCGGACAGGGGCGGAAACGCCCCCUCCUUCGGGCUGGCUGCAAGGUGCUGCAUGGUUGUCGUCAGCUCGUGCCGUGAGGUGUCAGGUUAAGUCCUAUAACGAGCGCAACCCCUGUGGUCAGUUGCCAGCGGAUAAUGCCGGGAACUCUGGCCAGACUGCCGGUGCAAACCGUGAGGAAGGUGGGGAUGACGUCAAAUCAUCACGGCCCUUACGUCCUGGGCCACACACGUGCUACAAUGGCAGGUACAGAGGGCAGCCACGCCGCAAGGCGGAGCGAAUCCUUAAAACCUGUCUCAGUUCGGAUCGGGGUCUGCAACUCGACCCCGUGAAGCUGGAAUCGCUAGUAAUCG